CACCGCCCGUCACACUAUAGGAGCUGGCCAGGUUUGAAGUCAUUACCCUUAAUCGUAAGGAGGGGGAUGCCUAAGGCUAGGCUUGCGACUGGAGUGAAGUCGUAACAAGGUAGCCGUACUGGAAGGUGUGGCUG
rfam:Zea mays cultivar B73 chromosome 4, whole genome shotgun sequence.